rnacentral:rRNA from 1 species
UACGUAGGGGGCAAGCGUUGCUCGGAAUUACUGGGCGUAAAGGGCGCGUAGGCGGCACUGUUAGUCAGGCGUGAAAGUCCUGGGCUCAACCUGGGAACUGCGCUUGAUACGGCAGAGCUAGAGGAUGGAAGAGGGUCGCGGAAUUCCCAGUGUAGAGGUGAAAUGCGUAGAUACUGGGAGGAACACCAGUGGCGAAGGCGGCUACCUGGACCGGUUCUGACGCUGAGGCGCGAAAGCGUGGGUAGCAAACAGG